AGGAAUUUAGCAUUGUAAAUUUCUAGGAAAAUGAUCUUGAAACAAAUUCCAAAUAAUGGAACUUAUAUUCUUUCGUGUAUGAUUAAGUGGAGGAGUAGUAGGAAUGGAUGAAGAGACCAACGACAUCAUUGCUUCAGGUCUUUCGUAGAAGCAGAGAAAGGUUGGGUGAGAGAGACGGAGGAAACAAAGAGCAAGACCAUGACGAC
rnacentral:misc_RNA from 1 species